rnacentral:rRNA from 1 species
UACAUGGGGUGCAAACGUUGCUCGGAAUUAUUGGGCGUAAAGCGCACGUAGGCGGUUCGUUAAGUCGGAUGUGAAAGCCCUCGGCUCAACUGAGGAAGUGCACCCGAAACUGGCGAGCUUGAGUACGAAAGAGGAUCGCGGAAUUCCCGGUGUAGAGGUGAAAUUCGUAGAUAUCGGAAGGAACACCGGUGGCGAAAGCGGCGCGCUGGAUCCCUACUGACGCUGAGGCACGAAAGCCAGGGGAGCAAACGGG